UAAAUCAUAAGCUAAUACACGAUUGCAAAACAAGCACCAUACAGCUACCAAACUCGGGUUUCAGAAAUCCAUUGCUUGUCACUGGGGCUGCCUUUACUCCACUCUAUUCCAACUCCGGGAGAUUUCCCGGAAGAUGUGAAAACUUGAGCACAUCGAAUAGGAGUCCCCACUAACAAAACAGCUGCUACUAUACAGUACAAUUCGUUAUACUGACAAAUCUCCAAACCAGCAGCGCUUUAAAGGCCGUUAUGCGAUUUCAUUACGGCUAGAAUCUGUAAUAAAGAAACUGUUGGUUUACCAACACGGCUUGUCGAAUGUAAACAUUAUUGUCAAAACAAACUUUAAGCGGGAUAUAUAGCUACUACACAAAUUCUUUACAGCUAUCCAUCUCUGUGCUGUGAAAUUAUUUGGGUUGCUUUUAUUGCACUUUAAUUCAAUGCCGGAAGAUUUUCCGGAAGAUGUGCAAAUCGAGUAAGAGUCCCAGCCACUACAACAGCUGCUUUUAUACAGUACGUUUUGUGAUGUUGCCAAAACACAAAACAGCAGCGCUUCGUAGCCGUUUAAAGAACACUCUUUCAGCUAGAAGCUGUGAAGAAGAAUCUGUAGGCGCAAUCACACAGCUUGUUCAAUGUAAACAUUAUUGCGUUUGACGUUUCACAAGCUUUUGCAGCAAGAUGAAGUUGGGUAAUGUUUCUUGUGGCACAAUUAUGAAGCCUUGUCUGGAGUAAAACAAAACGGGCUAUUUUCUAUAUUAUUUAUAUAUAGCAGUGUGGCAGCGAGGACAUCAUCGGGACCAGUGGAUACAGAGAUCGGGAGUUCGAUUCCAAAUAGCGGCAAGUACUUUAAUUAUUCAAUUUUAAAAGUGAUAAUUCCAGUUCCACAUGUAUUGCGUCACGAUAUCCAUAACCUAAUUAUAUUUAAACGUUUAAUUUGGGGAUGCCGUAUAACUA